GCUUGUAACAAUGCUGAAGCUGUUGUGGAGUCUAUUCCUUCUGUAGAAUUUUCAGUGAAUGAUGUUGAGAAAUCUAUCAAGUCCACUGUUUGUAGAGAGAAUGGUGAACAGUUAAGGAACUCAAUGCAAAAUGAGAAUGGAUUUCUUCCAAGUUUGAUGCCUUCAAAUGCUAAAAAGGAUCAUGAGGGGAGAAAUGUUGCCGAGAUUAAAGACACCUCUGGUGCUGCAAAUGAUUGGAGACAAUGUGGAUAUGAUGGGUUGCAAGGACACAAGAAUGAUGAUGAAAAAGUUUUAGAGUUUUCUCAGGAAGAAAGUGUAUGCUAAGAUAAAUUUGUUUACUCUUCAUAAUAAGUGUAUCACUUUAUCUAUGUUGGAUUAACAAUUUUCAACUUCUUUUUUUUUUUUUUGUAGGCUACAAAAGAUUUAGGCUCAAGUUCAACCUGUAAGUCAAUAUCCAUGUCACUUGUCUUAUUAUUUAAAAUGAUUUGAUAUUUAGAAGUAGCUUAAUCUCUGUGAUAUUUAUAAGGAAGGAUUCUCUGUGAGGAUAAUAUUAAUUGGAAAGCCUCUAUUUUGACAUGGACUUCCUAUGUUAAGAUUAUCAAUUAGUGAAGGAGUGAGAUCAAAGAAACUUGACGUUGAACAUUUUCCUAUUUAUUUUUUUUCACCGUGUUAACCAAAUAACUUAUUAAGGACCUGAUUUAAAACUAGCAUCCUUGGCAACAGUUGAUUGAUCUAUUUUUUGAGUGCUUGGUCUACAC